rnacentral:lncRNA from 1 species
UUUGAGAUUAUUGCCUUAAUUCAUUUAGGGAUUUGAUCUUUCAAAUCUUAGCGUUACGUUUGUCCUCAUGGUUAGGUAGAAAUAUUUGUGUGCUGACAGGCAAUAGGAACAGAUCUACAGAAGUGAAUCUCAUUAAUGGCUUGACUGGUUGAUUUGCAACUUUCUGUUACACAGAAAAUUAAACAGGGAGAUUUGUAAUAUGAGUUAAUUGCAACAUUCAAAACCCCAGACUUUAUAAAUUGUUCACUGACAUCAGAUCCCAGUCCUGAAUAUCUUUAGCUGAACAAUAGAAAGAGUUAUACCCUGGGAAGUCCAUUUUUGAGUAGAUUUUUGUUUGGAUACACAAAACUGUGAAGUAGACCCCAUGAUUUCAGCCUUGCUACUUUAUACAUCCACCCAGCCUGCUCUGCCCAGACACCCACCAUAAAGACAGCACCUCCUGGGCUGCAGACUGCAGGCGUGGUGCUGUCACCAGCAGCAAUGAAGGGACUGCCUGUCCUUAGCAAUAUGCAAGCAGCACAAGAGGGUGCUGGUGGCAUGGCACCCACCCCUGUGUUUUGUCCUGGUGGCGUUGUGUACAUUGGGCACCCAGCAUUGCCCUCCCCGUGGCACGGUGUGCUGUGAUGGCCGGGAGGAGAGGUGGCCACGCCAGGUCCGUGCCUGCCUGCCUGCAGCAUCCUCGAGCCCAAUGGGCUGAGUCACAGCCCCAAAUGUACGGGGAGCUGCAGCCUGGGAGUAAAUUGUUCUGUUGCCUGCUGGAGAAAAGCUGUAUGCCAGCUGCCCUUUAAAAUGUUCUGGCAGUCAUGGGUGUGGAAUAUAAAUUCUCCAUUUCAUUUCAUAGUUCUUUUCCUUGCUGAUCUCUUUUAGUUCUUUACUAAUCUUUUUAUUGUCUUUCAGAGUACAGAGACUUUCUUGAGUGUUUAUUAAAUGCAUGGAGAGGAAAAAACUACCCAGCGUGAGUACAAAACAGAUGCAUGUGUAUCCCGAGAUGAGUGCAUUAUGGAUAAAGAACUAUUAUCAUUCUUCCCGCAUUCAUGUUUCCAUCUACUUACGAGAUAUAUACGUGUGCCUUGUUAGCAAUGAUGUUAUAAUGCAAAAGCUGAAGUUUUCAUAUCGGAGGAAACAUAUAUUGUUAAAUGAACUGAGAACAUUCUCCCAAGGCUGUUCAAUUACUAACCCGUAGUGCUGGUUGGAAAACCAAAUAUCUAUUCUCCAGGGUAGCUACAUUGUACUCCAACAUUUGAAGAUUUGGUUUCUUUUAUAAUUGGAAUGAAAUAUUGAAUUUUUUUUGGAAAGGAAUUCUCUUGCUCUUCCAUCUGAAUACUAGCUGAACAUGCUCAUGUACGUAUGCAUUGUGUAUUUAAUAUACAAAUGCUGUAAUAACAAACUUGGAAACAAAAUUA